rfam:Triticum urartu cultivar G1812 contig1078369, whole genome shotgun sequence.
GCCGGGAAAAGGAAGAAAGAGAGAGCACAAGAGCACUGGGAAUGGGAACAUGGAGGAAAGACCUUCUUUUUUGUUUGCACAUCUAGUGUUGGGGGCAAAUAUAUUAGAUGGAUAAUUUCCUGAUGCCUCCCAUUCCUACCGUUCUUGUGCACUCCUUCCUAUUUCUUUUGGCU